UUUGGGGAAAAUUAAAAUAAAAUUAUUUUAAUAAAAAUUGAUCUUUACAAAACUAAAUGAAAAAGGUACUCUAGGGAUAACAGCGUUAUAGUUAUUAAAGCCCAUAUUUAAGUAACUG
rnacentral:rRNA from 1 species